rnacentral:rRNA from 1 species
GAUGAACGCUGGCGGCGUGCCUAAUACAUGCAAGUCGAGCGAACAGACGAGGAGCUUGCUCCUCUGACGUUAGCGGCGGACGGGUGAGUAACAUGUGGAUAACCUACCUAUAAGACUGGGAUAACUUCGGGAAACCGGAGCUAAUACCGGAUAACAUGUUGAACCGCAUGGUUCAACAGUGAAAGACGGUCUUGCUGUCACUUAUAGAUGGAUCCGCGCCGCAUUAGCUAGUUGGUAAGGUAACGGCUUACCAAGGCAACGAUGCGUAGCCGACCUGAGAGGGUGAUCGGCCACACUGGAACUGAGACACGGUCCAGACUCCUACGGGAGGCAGCAGUAGGGAAUCUUCCGCAAUGGGCGAAAGCCUGACGGAGCAACGCCGCGUGAGUGAAGAAGGUCUUCGGAUCGUAAAACUCUGUUAUUAGGGAAGAACAAAUGUGUAAGUAACUAUGCACGUCUUGACGGUACCUAAUCAGAAAGCCACGGCUAACUACGUG